UCCUGCAGAUAUUUGUAGAGAUCCUUCUUUGUGCCAGGAACAGAACUAGGCACUAGGAUGAUUUUUGUUCAUAAAAAGCAAGAAAAACCACCAGAUCCGAUGAACAUCAAGAUUCCUUGCAGAUGGAACAUCCUGGAAUCUUCCAAGCUGGAUAUGAGAGAGGUGGAGGGAAGAGUGAGUUGGAAAGUGAAGAUGAGGAGACUGAAACCUGAGGAUCAAAUAGAACUAUUGGGUAUUUUCUGGAGGUCAACGAUACGCACCGCAGGUGUGUGCUGUGCCUGGACAGGCAAAAGCAUUUGCUCAGUUGUGUUGUUGGCAUUACUACAUCAUGGGGAAGAAUCACAACUCAGAGAUCACACACACAGGGCUCUGUUAGGAAUCCCUCAGCAUAAGACUUGACUUUUCAUGGGGGGAAAAGUGGAGGUUUAGUGUGCUUCUGACUCAGCUUUCAAAUGAAGCUUGAAAUUUGAAGUUUGAAAGUUUCAAAUAAAGUUUGAAAGUUUUCCCUAGGUGUCCUGAUCGGCUCUUCAGUCUCAGCUUCCAGUAAACUGGGGAAGAAAAU